rnacentral:rRNA from 1 species
GACAGAGGGGGCAAGCGUUGCUCGGAAUCACUGGGCGUAAAGGGCGCGUAGGCGGGAUGGCAAGUCAGUCGUAAGAUCUCGGCUCAACCGAGAAAUGUCGGCUGAUACUGCCGUUCUUGAGGGAUGCAGAGGAGACUGGAAAUUCCCGGUGUAGCGGUGAAAUGUGUAGAGAUCGGGAGGAACACCGGUGGCGAAGGCGGUCUCUGGGCAUUUCCUGACGCUGAGGCGCGAAAGCGUGGAGCAAACGGG